GGUAAUAGCUCAAUGGUAGAGCUGCAUGCUUAGCAUGCACAAGGUCCUGGGUUCAAUCCCCAGUAUCUCCA
rnacentral:tRNA from 1 species